rnacentral:rRNA from 1 species
AUGGCGACUUUCCCCUUUGACCCUGCGCCCUUUGUGUCGCGAGGUUUCUCUGUGAUUGAAGUGGUUGAUCGUCCGGCUCGUGCUCGUGUGGUCUGUGGAGAUUUUUCAACGGUUAAUGAAGACCUGGCGAUCGUCACUAUUCUUCUGAUGCCCCUCGAUGAGGUACCCUUUGUCAAUGUCAGAGAUGUUUUAGGGGAUUUUCUUUCUCAGAUCAAGCAUGUGGGUUUCAAAUCAAUCACUCCUUGUCCUUUUGGCCAAGCUUUUGUUUGCUUCAAUAGUGUGGCAGAGAGAGAUCUGCUUGUUGACAGUGGUCCGCACAGACAUGAUGAUAUUCACUAUAUUUUUCAAAAGCAUACCCAAGGCCUUAAUUGGAGGAAAUUUCAUUUAGAUAGAGAAGUCUGGCUCCUGUUAGUGGGGUUUCCUGCAGAUCUUAGAUGUAUUCAUGAGUUAGCAAAUUCUGUGAGAAGCUUUGGAAAGAUGUGUGUUUGGGAUAGAGUUAAAUCCUCUGAUGCAGCAGUUUUAAUUAAAGUUUAUGUUGAUGCUCUCAAAGAGAUACCUGCCAGCAUUGUGGUUUCAUCUGACAAAAAAGAAGGAGAAUCUUGGACCUGUCCUGUGAUUAUAAUUCAUGAUAGCCCUGUGGGAGAGGGCCCUCCAGAGGAGGAUCCUAUUCCUGUUGAUGGUAAUCCACAUCCCAGGCCUGAUGAUGAUCACCGCCAUCCAAAUCAAAAUAUGCUUAUUGGACCUUUCUUGGAUGUUCAUAAUCACAAUCAAGAUGCGGGCAAUCAGCAAAAUAAUAACAUUCAAGAGGAGGAGCAGGAUGCAAUGGAUGUGGAGGAUCCUGGUUGGGUCCAUUGGGCCAUGCCAAAUGAGGAGCGGCUAGUUGAUCAAGAGCUUCAUGCAGGGUUCAUGAAGUUCUAUUUGAUCCUAUUGCUGAUGAAGUGA